rnacentral:rRNA from 1 species
UACGUAGGUGGCAAGCGUUGUCCGGAAUUACUGGGCGUAAAGAGCUCGUAGGUGGUUUGUCGCGUUGUUCGUGAAAACCUGAGGCUUAACCUUGGGCGUGCGGGCGAUACGGGCAGACUGGAGUACUGCAGGGGAGACUGGAAUUCCUGGUGUAGCGGUGAAAUGCGCAGAUAUCAGGAGGAACACCGGUGGCGAAGGCGGGUCUCUGGGCCGAUACUGACGCUGAGGAGCGAAAGCGUGGGGAGCGAACAGG